rnacentral:rRNA from 1 species
UAACUGAAGAGUUUGAUCAUGGCUCAGAUUGAACGCUGGCGGCAGGCUUAACACAUGCAAGUCGAGCGGGGGAAGGUAGCUUGCUACUGGACCUAGCGGCGGACGGGUGAGUAAUGCUUAGGAAUCUGCCUAUUAGUGGGGGACAACAUCUCGAAAGGGAUGCUAAUACCGCAUACGUCCUACGGGAGAAAGCAGGGGAUCUUCGGACCUUGCGCUAAUAGAUGAGCCUAAGUCGGAUUAGCUAGUUGGUGGGGUAAAGGCCUACCAAGGCGACGAUCUGUAGCGGGUCUGAGAGGAUGAUCCGCCACACUGGGACUGAGACACGGCCCAGACUCCUACGGGAGGCAGCAGUGGGGAAUAUUGGACAAUGGGGGGAACCCUGAUCCAGCCAUGCCGCGUGUGUGAAGAAGGCCUUAUGGUUGUAAAGCACUUUAAGCGAGGAGGAGGCUACUUUAGUUAAUACCUAGAGAUAGUGGACGUUACUCGCAGAAUAAGCACCGGCUAACUCUGUGCCAGCAGCCGCGGUAAUACAGAGGGUGCGAGCGUUAAUCGGAUUUACUGGGCGUAAAGCGUGCGUAGGCGGCUUAUUAAGUCGGAUGUGAAAUCCCCGAGCUUAACUUGGGAAUUGCAUUCGAUACUGGUGAGCUAGAGUAUGGGAGAGGAUGGUAGAAUUCCAGGUGUAGCGGUGAAAUGCGUAGAGAUCUGGAGGAAUACCGAUGGCGAAGGCAGCCAUCUGGCCUAAUACUGACGCUGAGGU